GUUGAAAGUGGUUCAGUCUGUGGGGGUCAGGUUCCUGAUCUUGGAUUAUUCCUAAAACUAAUAGAAAUUUGCCAUUGCAAAAUGAAGGAGGUAUUUCACACCCAAUCAUCCUUGGUAAAUUACAUGUUAUUGAAAUGUGGAAUCAAUAGUAAUGGUUCUUCACUUUCUCGUUUUUUCCCAAGGUAAAUGUCGGCCCAUUAGCAUAUGCAAGAGCUUUCCUAGAUGACACCAGUACAAAGAGAUUCCCUGAUAAUAAAGUGAAGCAGCUAAAGGAGGUAUUUAGACAAUUUGUGGAGGCCAGUGGUCAUGGUUUAGGGAUAAAUGAAAGACUAAUUAAAGAAGAUCAGUUGGAAUAUCAGGAAGAAAUGAAGGCCAACUACAGAGACAUGGCAAGAGAGCUUUCUGAAAUUAUGCACGAGCAGAUUUCUCCCGUUGAAGAUGGGAUGAAGAGCAGCGUGAUGCCGAACUCACUUCAUAUCUUCAACGCCAUCAGUGGAACUCCAAGCAGCACCACUGUUCAUGGGGUCCCCAGCACCUCUUCAGUCGUGUGACAGCAACAUGCAGCUUGGAAAGCAGAGACACACAUUUUUAUUUAAGAACUCCUUUUUUCUUUGUUAAGUUAUUGCUUGCAACACUCAGGAUUUCUCCAAAGCUGAAUAUUGGGCAUGUGCAAGCAGGUAAGUGUGGUGAAACCAAAAAGGUAUUUGGAGUCCAACUUCCUGUGUACCACGACUUACUUAGGAAUAGAGUGUAUGUCUUGUAAAGAGGACCUAAUGGAUAUUUUUAUGCCAGUUUACACAAAUCUGUAUUAUUCUGUACAUAAGUGUUAACAUCAGGUUAAUCAAGUAGGUUUUCUGGACAAGAAGGAGGGUGUAAAAAAGGGUAUUUUGAAAGCAUAUUUGAAACAUACUUCUUAUUUGAAAGCUAUUCUGUACAUUUUACAUAUUAAACUGUAACUGUAUUGUGUUCUUGUGUAGUGUUUCCUGUGGAGACUUCAGAAUGUGGAUUUUAAGCAACAAGAACACUUUAUGCAUGUAAUUAGUCACCUUGUUCUAGCAUAUUGGGAAAUUAUUUUGUUGUAGCAUAUUGGGAAAUUAUUUUGUAUUAAUGGGCCUAAAAAUCUUGUCCAUACUUUUUGUAUGUAUCCAAGUGUAUUAAACAUGUCUGCUCUAGAAUUGGAUGGUCAGCUUUGGAGGAUGUGUUAAUGAACAUUUGUUGCACAAUGUGUGUUGGUCCUUAUGUAAUGUUCAUUGGUAUAUUCCAAACAUAACGUAUAUGAAGAUGUAUAUUUCUACACAUAAAGUUGUCCUAUUUUAAAGUAUCUUCCCAUACAAGCUUUAGCCUUCUGCUUUAAACACAAAUUGUCUUAAGACAAAUGCAUAAUAUGCUAGAUCAAAUGCUGUGUGUAUUCUUGUAUAUAAACUAGUGCAAUAUUUGUCUUUCAGCAAGGUGUCUGCAAUAUUUGGUUCAUACACUGUAAUGAUAACGUUCAUCCUUUUGCCAAAGUGAUGGAGUAUGUGACCAGUGACAAUGCAUACUGUGGAAAUGGUUGUUGUAAUUUAAAGCUUUUACCAUUUGAACGAUCUUUUAAAACCAUUAAUUAAAUAAUUUUAUAUUUGG